GAUAUCAACACCAUUGUAAGGAGCAGGGUUUAAAGAAACCACCUCAAAGGUCCCACACUUUUUAUCAAUAAAAGAUAAACCAUAAUUGAUUAUUGAAAGGCCACCAUGAGAGAACCCAUAAAAGCAAAAUACAUAUAAACCAAGCAAACAAAGAAGAAUGGAAAGGAGAUCUCAUCAACGACCAUGCACCAAGCCACACCGCUUGGCAUUACAUAUUCCCCUUUUAAUCCCUUGCAGUGCAAUUAAAUCUUAUAAAAUCUAAGUUAAUUGUGUCACAGGAUACUUAAUGUAAUCCUCUCAAUUUAAUUUUCUUUAUUAUCAAAAUUAAAAUUAAAUAUUUGAACCUUAUAAAUGAAAAAAAAUUGCAACAAAGGAGCUCUCUGUUUUUUUUUUUUUUUUUUGUAAGUUGAAUCUCACGUACCAGAAUCUAAUUGAGCAGUGAUGCAUGUUGAUAUUGCCCUGCAAGGGCAGAACACAAAAAAUCACAUCGGCUUUCUCUUACCCACCUUUCAAACGGCUCGUUUUGAUGUAGGUCGAGACUCGAGUCAGCUUCCAUCUCAAAAGUUGUCUUCUGGAGCAGCUAGUGAUGGAGGGGGAACAUGGCGUCUGCCUAGCCCAACAUGAAUCAUUUGUCCAAAGACAUCGAGCUGAAGGCGUAUUUUGUGUAUGACCUACCAGAGAAUCCUAAAAUGAUCGUACGACCGAUGAUCUCUUCAUGAAUAUUCAAGCUUGUUGUCUAAUUGUCGUCUACAACUUGUUUGAGCAAGCUAUCACAAUAAAAGCUAACUCACCUUUUUCGUUACU